ensembl:lncRNA
CCUACCCAGGCCCACGGCAUUCAUUACCUACCCAGGCCCGCGACAUUCAUUACCUACCCAGGCCCACGACAUUCAGGCCCAUGACAUUCAUGAUCUACCCAGGCCCACGACAUUCAUUACCUACCCAGGCCCACGACAUUCAGGCCCGCAACAUUCAUGAUCUACCCAGGCCUACGACAUUAAUUACAUACCCAGGCCCACGACAUUCAUUACCUACCCAGGCCCACGACAUCCAUUACCUACCCAGGCCCGUGACAUUCACUACCUACCCAGGCCCACGACAGUCAGGCCCGCGACAUUCAUGAUCUACCCAGGCCCACGACAUUCAUUACCUACCCAGGCCCACGACAUUCAGGCCCGCAACAUUCAUGAUCUACCCAGACCUACGACAUUCAUUACCUACCCAGGCCCACGACAUUCAUUACCUACCCAGGCCCACGACAUUCAGGCCCGCAACAUUCAUGAUCUACCCAGGCCUACGACAUUCAUUACCUACCCAGGCCCACGACAUUCAGGCCCACGACAUUCAUUACCUACCCAGGCCCAC